rnacentral:lncRNA from 1 species
CCGGCAGAAAAUGGUAAUAUCUCCGGAAGCAAUAGCCCAAAAGAGGGAGACAAUAACAAUGAGGUAGGAUAAUACGAGAAAAAAAUAUUAGAGAGCCACAUUUACUGAAGCUGGAACUGAUAGACUGAUCAUAACUCGCAGACACUCCUGAGAAACAUGAGACCGAAGAUAACCAAAGAACCAAUGACUUAGGCAAACCCAACCCUGAAGGGUACACCACCAAGCCAAAACAGGCGCACCAUCGGGACAAGCAUGUGCGAGGAUAAACUUACAUCAACACCAGAGACUGUUGCAAACCGGAGCAAAGGCAGAACCAAGUCAAAACCAAACACCCAGGCUCAAAGACACAAGAACUUGAAAUGCUAAAGGGAAAAACACCGGCGAAGAUUUACAGGUCUUACACGCGGACACUUGUUAGGCAGAAUAGCGAUCUACAGAGCUAAAACUGGUCACCUCCUCGCAAGAGAAAGCCUACAAAUCAAACUUACUGCUUCGUCUCGAAAUGCUCGCCCAAUCCAUGGUGGAUAAAGGAGAGGUCUAGUAGAUUCCUCCACAGCAAAUAUACUUUACACCGAC